UUAAGAGAAGCAAACUAUUGCCUUUGGAAUGGAUAAGCAAUGAGAUCCUGCCAUGUAGCUCUGGGAACUAUGUCUAGUUAUUUAUGAUGGAGCAGGAUAAUGUGAGAAAAUAGAAUGUAUACAUGUAUGUGUAACUGGGUCACCAUGCUGUACAGGAGAAAAAAAAUUGUAUUGGGGAAAUAACAAUUAAAAAAAUAGACGUAGGUCAAAUGACCGAAUGAAUAGCAACAACAUGGCUCUGGUUUAGAACUGGGAACUGAGACUGAAUUAAUUCUUCUUAAUUUAUUUUCCCACAUGCCAAUCACAUGUGCUCUGAGCCACUCUGUUCCUAGGAGUGCUGCUUGUGUCCUCCCACAGACGAGCUUCCGAGAGGAAACUGAGCUUCUGAGAAGAAAUGUGGUACCUCAAGGAUGCCCCGACGAUAUUAGAACAAGGAAGGGUGGACCUUUUACUAGUCGGUCUGCUUUUCUAUCUCCUGCGGUGAAGCUCCUGGUCAUCACCUGUCCAUGGGGCAUGAGCAUGGGAAAACUGAUGGAACCAGCAAGAUACUGCCUCUUCAAAAACAUCCUAAUUUCUGGAGUUUCUGUCUCUGACUGGCCGCAGUGGUUUUGAGGUCUUCAUGUCCGAAUCACGGUACACGAGGCGCUUUUGUUUAAGACACUGGCUUGUAAUUGGACAUCCUCUGGUCUUUUAAGACUAUGUGUACUAGGACUUUCUGUGCUAAAGGGAAAAAAAUGGAUGAAAAAUCAGAAAUUAUCUGUGAAAGGCAAGAAUCAUCUUGCAGGUCCUUUGCUGUGUGAUCAUCAAAUGCAAGAAAUGAUGGAGCUGGCAGAAGACAAGGCUGGGAUUCAAUGAUGUGCAGACAAUGUUUUCUCACAAUGUAAAGGUGAAAAAACUGAGGCGCUAUUGAAAUUUUGAGGGGUCAGAGCAUGUGGUAUUACUACGAGGCCCACUUCCUGCAUCAUUCCCAGGAGGCAGGUCCAUGACAGCAGGUGCGAGUCGCCAGGAAGCACUUCCUUUGGGAUCAAGCCCUGUGAUCACCAUCAUGCAUUUACUGAUCCCACAUGCCAGGCCCAGGGCUGGGGGUAGGGGAGACACAUCCCCUGCCUCCAAAGGGGGACAAUCCAGGGAUCCAAAGUGUGUGAUCCUAAGCAUCCAUGUAAAAAGUUCAAAGGGGAUACUCAAAACAGCACGGAGGAGACUCCAUCAGCUGGUUGCUUCUUGGGGAAGACUGCCUGGAAGAGGCUUCCUCUUUGGAAAUCUGUGCAUCCAAGAAAGAAAAUAAAAAUUCUGGGCAAUUGCCCA
rnacentral:lncRNA from 1 species